rnacentral:lncRNA from 1 species
UACAGAGCCAAAGAAGCUAAAGAGAAUUUGUAAGAAUCCAGCGCAAUUCAGAAUCAGAGGUUUUAGAGCUGGGAUGGAUUUUCCAGAAAUCUUCUGUUUCAAACACCUGCCCUAGGAUAGGCAAAUGGGAGCUACUAAAAUUUUUGGAGUUGGAGUGGAAUAUGAGAUGUCUUUCAAGAAGGUUAUCAUGCAGUCCUGAAAGAACAGACAUGCUGAUUGGCACAGAGCGGCAGGAAGAAUAUAAAGACACCAUGAAGCUCUUAAACUGCGAUCUGUUCAUUUACUCCUGUUUGAAUUGGAAGAAUAGGAGCUGACGUUUGGAUGGGGUCUUAAAAGUCAUCUUGUGCAACCUUGCACCCAAUGCCAGAAUUACUGGGGCUACACACUCUGAUUGAAUAUCUUCCCUGAAGAGAGGGGCACUGGUGCACAGAAUGGCCCAGGCAUGAGUGAACAUCUCUGCUCCACAGGUCCAGGAGGCAGAAAGGCAUAGGGAAAAGGCCACGGCCUCUGUCUUCUAAGACCUGGGCUCAAAUCCAGCUCUGCCCCUGUGAACAGGGCAGGAUACUCCCUGAGUCUUGCUUUCCU